GACAGAGGGGGCGAGCGUUGUCCGGAGUCACUGGGCGUAAAGCGUGCGCAGGCGGUAACCUUAGUGUCGUGUGAAAGCCCCCGGCUCAACCGGGGGAGGCCAUGGCAAACUGGGUCGCUCGAGCUGCGGAGAGGCUCCUCGAAUUGCCGGUGUAGCGGUGAAAUGCGUAGAGAUCGGCAGGAAGACCAAGGGGGAAGCCUGGGGGCUGGCCGCAGGCUGACGCUGAGGCGCGACAGCGUGGGGAGCAAACCGU
rnacentral:rRNA from 1 species